GACGGGGACCCGCACAAGCGGUGGAUGAUGUGGAUUAAUCGAUGCAACGCGAAAAACCUUACCUACCCUUGACAUGGUCGGAAUCCCGCUGAGAGGUGGGAGUGCUCGAAAGAGAACCGGCGCACAGGUGCUGCAUGGCUGUCGUCAGCUCGUGUCGUGAGAUGUUGGGUUAAGUCCCGCAACGAGCGCAACCCUCGCCUUUAGUUACCAUCAUUUAGUUGGGGACUCUAAAGGAACCGCCGGUGAUAAGCCGGAGGAAGGUGGGGAUGACGUCAAGUCCUCAUGGCCCUUACGCGCUGGGCUACACACGUGCUACAAUGGCAACUACAGUGGGCAGCAAUCCCGCGAGGGGGAGCCAAUCCUGAAAGCAGGCCUCAGUUCAGAUUGCAGUCUGCAACUCGACUGCAUGAAGCCGGAGUUGCUAGUAACCGCAGGUCAGCAAUACUGCGGUGAAUACGUUCCCGGGUCUU
rnacentral:rRNA from 1 species